AACGAGCGCUGGCGGCAUGCCUAACACAUGCAAGUCGAACGAGACCUUCGGGUCUAGUGGCGCACGGGUGCGUAACGCGUGGGAACCUGCCCUUAGGUUCGGAAUAACUCCCCGAAAGGGGUGCUAAUACCGGAUAAUGUCUUCGGACCAAAGAUUUAUCGCCUUUGGAUGGGCCCGCGUUGGAUUAGCUAGUUGGUAGGGUAAAAGCCUACCAAGGCGACGAUCCAUAGCUGGUCUGAGAGGAUGAUCAGCCACACUGGGACUGAGACACGGCCCAGACUCCUACGGGAGGCAGCAGUGGGGAAUAUUGGACAAUGGGCGAAAGCCUGAUCCAGCAAUGCCGCGUGAGUGAUGAAGGCCUUAGGGUUGUAAAGCUCUUUUACCCGGGAUGAUAAUGACAGUACCGGGAGAAUAAGCGCCGGCUAACUCCGUG
rnacentral:rRNA from 1 species